AGCAGUCGCCGCGGUAACACCGAGGGUGCGAGCGUUAAUCGGAUUUACUGGGCGUAAAGCGUGCGUAGGCGGCUUUUUAAGUCGGAUGUGAAAUCCCCGAGCUUAACUUGGGAAUUGCAUUCGAUACUGGGAAGCUAGAGUAUGGGAGAGGAUGGUAGAAUUCCAGGUGUAGCGGUGAAAUGCGUAGAGAUCUGGAGGAAUACCGAUGGCGAAGGCAGCCAUCUGGCCUAAUACUGACGCUGAGGUACGAAAGCAUGGGGAGCAAACAGGAUUAGAUACCCCAGUAGUCCCUGUCUCUUAUAA
rnacentral:rRNA from 1 species